rnacentral:rRNA from 1 species
UGGGGAAUAUUGCGCAAUGGGGGCAACCCUGACGCAGCCAUGCCGCGUGAAUGAAGAAGGCCUUAGGGUUGUAAAGUUCUUUCGGUAUUGAGGAAGGUUGAUGUGUUAAUAGCACAUCAAAUUGACGUUAAAUACAGAAGAAGCACCGGCUAACUCCGUGCCAGCAGCCGCGGUAAUACGGAGGGUGCGAGCGUUAAUCGGAAUAACUGGGCGUAAAGGGCACGCAGGCGGUUAUUUAAGUGAGGUGUGAAAGCCCUGGGCUUAACCUAGGAAUUGCAUUUCAGACUGGGUAACUAGAGUACUUUAGGGAGGGGUAGAAUUCCACGUGUAGCGGUGAAAUGCGUAGAGAUGUGGAGGAAUACCGAAGGCGAAGGCAGCCCCUUGGGAAUGUACUGACGCUCAUGUGCGAAAGCGUGGGGAGCAAACAGGAUUAGAUACCCUGGUAGUCCACGCUGUAAAUGCUGUCGAUUUGGGGGUUGGGGUUUAACUCUGGCGCCCGUAGCUAACGUGAUAAAUCGACCGCCUGGGGAGUACGGCCGCAAGGUUA